rnacentral:rRNA from 1 species
AGUGAACGCUGGCGGUAGGCCUAACACAUGCAAGUCGAACGGUAGCACAGUAAGAGCUUGCUCUUACGGGUGGCGAGUGGCGGACGAGAGAGGAACACAUCGGAACCUACUGUUUCAUGGGGGAUAAGCUAGGGAAAUUUACGCUAAUACCGAAGACGACCAACGGGGGAAAGCAGGGGAUCUUGCGGCCUGGCCCGCUGGUAUCAGCCGAUGUCGGAUUAGGGAGUUGGGGGGGUAAAGGCCAACCAAGGCGACGAUCCGUAGCUGGUGUGAGAGGAUGAUCAGCCACACUGGAACUGAGACACGGUCCAGACUCCUACGGGAGGCAGCAGUGGGGAAUAUUGGACAAUGGGCGCAAGCCUGAUCCAGCCAUGCCGCGUGGGUGAUGAAGGCCUUCGGGUUGUAAAGCCCUUUUGUUGGGAAAGAAAAGCAGCAGGUUAAUACCCCGCUGUUAUGACGGUACCGAAAGAAUAAGCACCGGCUAACUUCGUG